AUUAAACGCUGGCGGCAUGCCUUACACAUGCAAGUCGAACGGCAGCACGGGGGCAACCCUGGUGGCGAGUGGCGAACGGGUGAGUAAAGCAUCGGAACGUGCCCUGGAGUGGGGGAUAACGUAGCGAAAGUUACGCUAAUACCGCAUAUUCUGUGAGCAGGAAAGCAGGGGAUCGCAAGACCUUGCGCUCUGGGAGUGGCCGAUGUCGGAUUAGCUAGUUGGUGGGGUAAAGGCCUACCAAGGCGACGAUCCGUAGCGGGUCUGAGAGGAUGAUCCGCCACACUGGGACUGAGACACGGCCCAAACUCCUACGGGAGGCAGCAGUGGGGAAUUUUGGGACAAUGGGGGGCAACCCUGAUCCAGCCAUGCCGCGUGAGUGAAGAAGGCCUUCGGGUUGU
rnacentral:rRNA from 1 species